rnacentral:lncRNA from 1 species
CUUCCAUUUUAGAAGUUUCAGUCCAUUUGGCAGACUCAAACAUAGAAACAGCAAAGCAGAAGGGUCUGGGAGGGGAAAGCUGCUCAGGUCCUGGCGGAGGUACGGGAGGAGCCAGGGAGGGAGACACACUCUUCUGGUCCCGCCCCAGUGACCCUCUUCCAACCAGACCCACCUCUUAAGAGCCAGGCAGCCGUGACACCCCCCACCACCCAGCCCCGCGAGCACAUGAGGCUUUGGGCGGACAUCUAGGUAGAAACCAUAACGGGGGUUAAUAAUCACGACUAUAAAACAUUCAGCAAACUAAGUAAAAUGGGCAACUUCAUUCAUUGCUAGUACUAGCGAACAAAGUGAGAGAACUUUUGCUGAUAAGACAAUUUGUUAACAUUAAAAAUAUUUAUGUUCAUACAAAAAUUCAUACAUGAUGGUUCAUAACAACUUUAUUUGUAAUAGCCCAAAACUGGAAUCAGCCCAGAUGUCCUCCGACAGGUGAAUGGUUAAAGAAGCUGUGGUGUAUCUAUACUGGAGAUAAAUGAAAGCAGUGAACCGUUGAUACCCACGAAAACUUGGAUGAUCUCCUGGGAAUUGUGCUGUGUGAAAAGACCCAAUCCUAAAAGGUUACGUGUUGUAUGUUUCAGUUCCUGAAGUGACAAAAUUUAGAAGAGGAGGACAGAGUAGUGGUACAAAAUAUUAAGCGGGGGUAGAGAAAUAGGUGUGAUUAUAAAAAUAAAACAUGAGGAAUCUUUGUGGUGCUGGGACUAUAGUGGUGGAUAUACAAACUUACACAGGUAAUAAAACAGCUUAGGACUUAAUAUACACAUACCCAGACAAGAACAAGAGAAACAUUUACAAGGCCGGUAGAUUGUAGCAAUGUCAAUAUUCUGGCUGUGAUAUCAUAAUAUGGCUUUGCAAACCGUUACCAUUCAGUGAAAGUGGGCAAGGUGCACAUGAGAUCACUGUAUUAUUUCUUAACAGCAGCAUGGGAAUCUAUACUUAUCUCAUUUUCUUACUAAAUGUUAUGACAAAUUAUUAAUGUCUCUGCUGGGUAUAGGGGAGAAGGAGCUGCCCAUGUGUUCCCAUUGUAGAAUUCCAAAGAGGAAGGUUAAUAAAUAUUAUUCUCAUUAUGGUACAUCAAUGAAAUGAUCAUAACCAUGGGGGGUAUUUGUAUCUAUUGACCCAAUAAUUCCACUUCUUGGAAUGUAUUAUUAACAAUGCAUGAAGCCAAGCAGGAUGCCCGCUUAUAAUCUCAGCUAUUCAUGAGGCUGAGGCAGGAAUAUUCAAAAUGUGAGGCCUGCCUGGGCAAUUUAGCAAGACUUUGUCUAAAUAAAUAAAUAAAUAAAUAAACAAACAAAUGUUAAAAACAGGCUGGGAAUAUAGCUCAGUGGAAGAGCGCCUGCCUAGUAUGUGCAAGGUCCAGGGUUCAAUCCCCAGUACCACACACACACAUAUACAGGGGGGAAAAAAGGGAAGAAAUUUUAUGUGUUUGGAUAUUCACUGCCAUAUUAUUUAUAGCAGUGAAAAGAUAUAAAUGAUUAAAAAUAGGUGAUGAGACAUAAAUCACAGUGUAUGUAGGUGAUAAAAUACUCUACGUAGACUUUAAAGAUGCUUUAAAAAAAUACACCCAGAAGGGCUGGGGAUUUAGCUCAGUGGUUCCAGCGCCUGCCUCGCAAAUGCAAGGUCCCAAGUUCGAUCCCCGGUACCCCCCCGCAAAAAAAAACACUCAGAGCCUGACAUGGUGGUACAAUCUGUAAUCCCUGCACUGGGGUGGCUGAGGCAGGAGGAUCUCUAUGAGUUCAAGGCUAGUUUGGGAUACACAGUGAGUUCAAGGCUGGCCUCGACUACAUAGUGAGACCCUGUGUCACCCCAUCUUCCCAAAACCCAAAACCAAAACAAACAAAAAACACAAAAUCAACCCAAAAACAACAAAUUUAAAAAAUCACCCAGUACAAUGCUGGUACAUAGUAGACACCCAAUAAAUGCAGUUCUCUUUUCUUCCUGGAUUGCUCUGGAUAUCAAAAGAGCUAAUAUAGGGGCUGGAGAUGUAGCUCAGUGGUUCCACUGCCUGCUUUGCAAGCACAGGGUCCUGAGUUUGAUCCCCAGUACCAAAAAAAGAGCUAAUGUAGGUCAAUGUACUUGGCAAACUGUAAAGUGCCUGGAGAAAGCUAGUUGUUGCUAUCCUUCUUAGGGCUGCCAGGUACAAGAGUGGCUAAGAGGUGGCAUGGGACCAUAGCUUCUUUCCUGGCUAGGGAGGCACGGGAAUGGGGGAACUGACUCCUUGGGGAAUCUGGGUCCUUUCUAGGGCACUGCCACUCUAGUCCACGCCAUGAAGAAAACAACGAACAUUCUCCUGGCAAGUGGGGGGCAUCACAGAGUGUGGAACCACGUGGGCCCUGCUGGCUCUGCAGUAACAGUGCUCUACUGCAUUGCGUGCCCACUGUCGGGCACUGUCCUGGGUGCUUUACACAUGUGUGUGCAGAUUCUCACAACCACCCAAGGGGAGCUGUUCACCUGCACAUCACAGAUAAGGACACUCAGGCUCAAAGGGGCCAAGUGACUUACCAAGGCAGCUGGCGAGUGGCAGGGCUGGCACUGGAACCUGGCCCUCUGCUGGGUUAAUCCGUGAUCUGAGCACCACAGGUAUGAUAUUUUGAUGGCGUGAGGAGGUGUGCUGUGUGGAGACUGAGGCAGCCCGCAGAAGGAAGCACGUUCUCCGGCGUUCCCUGUACAUGUAGGACUCCAAUCCCUUGUAGGCAGAAGACAGACCUCUGGAGAGAAGUAGGCCCACUCUGGUCUUUCAUCCUAGAGGAAGUUUUCUCGUGUGUUUAACCUCCAUCUUGCCUGCUGACGUCCAGUCUCUUUUCUCCCUUUGCUUCCAGUGAGGAUGGGGAGCUGAUGGCCUGGUUCCUCCUGACUUCUCCAUGAAUGGUUCCAGGGACUUCUAUUUUCCCAGCUCCUCGGAGGACAUGAUGAGGGUGCUUCAGCCCCUUUGGCCUCUGUCCAAGUGCUGAGGACCACACUCCGGGCCUUGGCCAUGCCGCUUCUAAGACUCGAGGGUCCGAGAUGUGAGACGUCAGCCGGUGGCCGAUAAGAUCCUGCUUGCCCUCCUCAUCUGACUUUCCUCCCUCCACACCUACAUGCUUCUCCUUUUCCUAUUUCCAGGAACUUUCCAAAUGCAGGAACACAGAGCAACUGCAGGACAGGAUUCCACCAAAUUCCCCUCUCUGGCUCUUGGUUUCCACAUCUGUAAAGUAAAGGGUCGGGCAAGAUGAACGCCACGUUGGCUUCCUUGCAGCAGUGAGGUUCCAUGGUCCAGACCCCAAGGCACCACACUCAUUUGUACAUAACCUCCAGGACACUUUCUUCACGUCAGGACAGAGGAACCACUCUGCUCUCAACUCUGCCCUCCAGUCACCUCACCAGUCUUUGGGUCCAUGGCCCCUCGCGCUUGUCCCUCUUUCUUCAGGAACCUCAGACCUCCGUUCCCAACUUCCUUUCACAAGUUUACCACAUUCCUUGGGCUAAGCCGACUGGACAAAACACCAAGAAACCACCUUACCUACUACCCUGGCUGUGAUUUCGGGCUCCAGGCCCAAGUCAACUGCUUUGGGAGGUCCUGGCCACUGGAGGAAAUGCUGGCACCUCUCCCCAGCACCUCCCCUGCUCCUCCACCUCACUGUUCUCCAUGCCAGCACGAAAAGUGGCCAGUGAUUGAUGGGCCUGGGUUCCCGGUAACCGCACCCAGUGGCCCAAUCCUCCUCCCUUCCUCAAUCCCUCCCCUGCCCCUAUUCAGAGCUCAGAUUGUCUCAUGUUGGUCCCUGAGGUCCCAUUAAUUAAAAAUACAUCCAAUUAAAUGGCAGGUGAAAACGUGCUGCUGGAGCUCCACCCCCCACCCC